rnacentral:rRNA from 1 species
UACGUAGGGUGCAAGCGUUGUCCGGAAUUAUUGGGCGUAAAGAGCUCGUAGGCGGUUUGUCGCGUCUGCUGUGAAAACCCGAGGCUCAACCUCGGGCCUGCAGUGGGUACGGGCAGACUAGAGUGCGGUAGGGGAGAUUGGAAUUCCUGGUGUAGCGGUGGAAUGCGCAGAUAUCAGGAGGAACACCAAUGGCGAAGGCGGGAUCCUGGGCCAGUACUGACGCUGAGGAGCGAAAGCGUGGGGAGCAAACAGG